CUCCCUGCAAAAACACGGAAAGAUAAUGAAAACUUGAUGAAGCGCAGGAGGAAGUUCCUCGUCAGCACACUGCAGCGGCCAAGUCCAUUCUAUGCUCACCUGUUUUGUUGGAUUGGGAAGCUUUGGUGCUCUCUGAGAACGUGGUAAUCAGUGGAAAAUUCUGGAACUGAGGCUCUGGAUCACACAGGCAGAGGAGCCAGGAGGUGCUGGAGGCCUGGCACCACUGAAGGUUCAGAUGAGAUGUGGGAGGUCAAACACAUUUGCUGCAGCUGCUUGGCUGUGUCUAUAGAAUUUUCAUUAAUGAGCCAUUGCUUCUUGACUUUA